rnacentral:rRNA from 1 species
GCUUAACACAUGCAAGUCGAGCGGGGAAGAGUAGCUUGCUACUUUACCUAGCGGCGGACGGGUGAGUAAUGCUUAGGAAUCUGCCUAUUAGUGGGGGACAACAUCUCGAAAGGGAUGCUAAUACCGCAUACGUCCUACGGGAGAAAGCAGGGGACCUUCGGGCCUUGCGCUAAUAGAUGAGCCUAAGUCGGAUUAGCUAGUUGGUGGGGUAAAGGCCUACCAAGGCGACGAUCUGUAGCGGGUCUGAGAGGAUGAUCCGCCACACUGGGACUGAGACACGGCCCAGACUCCUACGGGAGGCAGCAGUGGGGAAUAUUGGACAAUGGGGGGAACCCUGAUCCAGCCAUGCCGCGUGUGUGAAGAAGGCCUUUUGGUUGUAAAGCACUUUAAGCGAGGAGGAGGCUACCGAGAUUAAUACUCUUGGAUAGUGGACGUUACUCGCAGAAUAAGCACCGGCUAACUCUGUGCCAGCAGCCGCGGUAAUACAGAGGGUGCAAGCGUUAAUCGGAUUUACUGGGCGUAAAGCGCGCGUAGGUGGCCAAUUAAGUCAAAUGUGAAAUCCCCGAGCUUAACUUGGGAAUUGCAUUCGAUACUGGUUGGCUAGAGUAUGGGAGAGGAUGGUAGAAUUCCAGGUGUAGCGGUGAAAUGCGUAGAGAUCUGGAGGAAUACCGAUGGCGAAGGCAGCC